AUCCCCCUCCUCGUUAAGUAAGUCUCGAAAGUAUGCCUGCCACCUCUGCUUGACUUGAGACUCCCCCAUCAUAACUCUACCAUCCUCGCCCUUGAUGCACCUAACUUGGUCAAGAUCACGCGCCUUCCUUUCCCUUUCUUUAGCUAAUCGGAAUAACUUCCUGUCCCCGCCUUUCUCCCCUAAUUCCUCGUACAUGCGACCAAACGCCGCGUUUUUGGCUUCCUUAACCGCCAUCUUUGCUUCUUUCCUCGCCGCCUUGUAGAUCUCCCUGUUCGCUCUCCAUUCUUCCUCGCUUGUGCUCCCUGCCAUCUUAGCAAAUGCCGCCUUUUCACCUCCACUUUCCCUUGGACUACAUCGUUCCACCACCAGUCACCCUGAUGUCUGCCUGAAUAGCUCUUUGCUACCCCGAGCAUAUCCCGUGUUACCUCCCUAACC
rnacentral:lncRNA from 1 species